GGGCGUUUAGUCUAGUGGUAUGAUUCUCGCUUCGGGUGCGAGAGGCGCCCGAGAUCGAUCUCGCACACUCCCC
rnacentral:tRNA from 1 species